rnacentral:rRNA from 1 species
UACGGGGGGGGCAAGCGUUGUUCGGAAUUACUGGGCGUAAAGGGUUCGUAGGUGGUCUGCUAAGUCAGACGUGAAAUCCCUCAGCUUAACUGGGGAACUGCGUCUGAUACUGGCGGACUUGAGGACAGGAGAGGAACGCGGAAUUCCAGGUGUAGCGGUGAAAUGCGUAGAUAUCUGGAGGAACACCGGUGGCGAAGGCGGCGUUCUGGACUGUUUCUGACACUGAGGAACGAAAGCCAGGGGAGCAAACGGG